rnacentral:sRNA from 1 species
CGUUUCUGUUGUCCGUCACGUACCACUGAAUGUUCGUGUCUGGGACCAUGAUUUUAAGCCAGCACAUCCAUUCUGCAGCCGUAGCCUCGGCGGAUUUUUCUCCGAGAUGAUCUUGCUCCGUCUGCUGGUCGUAUUCGUCCUGCUGGUUCUGCAGGCUCUGCACGUCCUGUUGGUCGUGGCUUGUUGUCCUCAAUUGUGGCAAUGAUUCCUCGUAGUUAUCCGGAAGGAUAAUUGCUAAAUUGUUGGGAAAGCGACUGUGAAAUACAUCAUAGUCAGCAUUAUGCUCUCCCUUCUUUUUAGUUCUUCUAUCAGUGGGCUAUGUUCUCUGUCUCGUGGCCAUAAUCUCGUACUAGGGGCUGAAAGUUUCGCAUCACUACUGCUGUUCACCUCCUUUGGUCCCACCUCUCUUGAGGCCCCUGAUUCUGCGAGAAGUCUGGCUCUCUUG